AGAAAAAUCGAUUAUUCUUUUUUUUUUUUUAAAUAAACUCCUCACCAUAGCCCAAAGUCAGAUACUACUGUUGCAUUUUUUUUUUAUGGGAUUAGUUUUUUGUCUUACACAGUAAUUGCAAUUGACCUUGAAACUGAUUUUUUAUUUAGUGUGUGUAGAUGAUAUAGAGUUUGGAACAGUGCAUAUGACGAGAAAAAUAAGGUGCUAGGAUAUUUUUGAGAAUUCAAAUUUUCCUUUUCAUUUGUACUCUUUGCGCCAAUCACAGGUUAUUCGAAGCCGCUCAGGGAAUUUCAGGGGAACAAAGAGGGUUCUGGAAGGCGUAAUGACGACUGGUGACAGGCUUAGUAUUUUAUUUAUUUUAUGUUGGUUGUAUUGAUUGCUUCAUGAUUUUGUUUAUACAUUUGAGAAAUUCAAUCAAAAUCUCAGUUGGUGGCGAUUAUUUAUCAACAUCUGUUUAGUUAGAUUUUGAUUUAACUAUUUCAAUUCUCUAAAAAAUGAAACGUAACUCAUUAUUUGUAAGCAUUUCAUUUAUUUGAUGUAGGUUGUAUUGGUAACAAGGAGUAUCUUUGCAAUCCUAAACAACCAACGAUAUCUCAAUUUUGUUAAACAUAUGUUAAGUCUUUUGUGCACUGUUGUCAUAUCUGUUUUCGAAAGAUAUUGAACAAUUUAAUAUUUUUGAUGUAGGCAUUAGCUUCAGAUUUAUCAAGCCCAGAUGAUCAGGACGAUUCAAUUAUUGUGGAAUACGAGGAUUUUUUGAAGUUAAGAUAGCCACUAAUGGAAUGUUUUGAGGUUUCUCCAUGAGUGAGAUCCAAAAUUAACGCACGAGCUCAACGUUUAAAUUCUUACCAUGUAGUCCAUUGCAUUUGUUAUUAUGAGUUUGUAGUAUAUUUUUACAUAUACAUUGCACUCCGUGUCAAUUUAAGUUGAAGCAAGAUACAUCUGCCUUCGUGGGUGGAUACAUCCUAUGUUACUAUCAAAAUGAUCAUCUUUCUCCAUUUUGAAGGCCUCGGGAGAGAUCUCUUCUCUGCGCUCCCCAAACGAUCAUCAACUAUCACCCAAGAGAAUAGAGUUUUUUAUCAUCUCUUUGAAAAAUGUAUUAGAAAAUAUAUUUCAGUUUUCUAAUCAAGCUACAAAAACCAGAUAUGAAAUUUAAAGUCGAACAGUAAACACAAAAAAGAAACAUUUGCAAAGAAAAUGCCUUAAGCAGAGAGAGGCAUAAUAGACUACUCAAGUACUUUAUUUUUCUGGACAUAUUAUAGAGAAACACACAUCAUGAUACACAUUUUAAUUGAUCAGUAUUGGUUGUGUCUUCUUCCCCAUAAUGACAGAUCUAACCAGAUAUGUACUACUCAGUCGUUGCCGGCAGGCAAAGUAACUCUGUAUUUGUUGGAUUUUUUACAGGAUUAAAUGACUCUCUAUGGAUACUUGAAAUGUGUACAGGAGAGUGAAUGUGUGUUACGUAGCCAGUGACUCAUGUUAACAUGUUAGACCAGCUUGAAUGACAAACUAUGCAUAUAUUGAUUUUUUAAAAGUAACAAUGUGUGCAUUACGAGGACCACAUUGCUUACUUGCCAUUUAUAGGUGGUGUUUGUUGUAUUCUGAUGUAUUAUUAUUUCUUCCAUAUAAUGAGAGACCUCGAGACAGGAAAUUCACGGGAUUUUGGUUUCAUUAGUUACUAUUCAUUUGAUGCCUCUGAUGCAGCAAUUGAGGUAAUUGUUCUUUUAUCUUUUUGCUUACCAACCAUAAAUUGUAAGGAUACAUGAUACUUUGCCACUUACAAGUCAAAAAAGUUCAAAUCUAAGUAUUACCUAUUGUUUGACUUGGAACAAAUACUUUUUUUAGUGUUUAGUUUUUAAAGUAUGAUGCAUUUCCGAUCAGAAUUGAGAGGAUAAGCUAUUUGCAUGCUAUGGAGAUUGUAAUGUGUAAAUAAUGGAGUAUUUUUUGGUUUGGUUUGUACUAUUAUUUUAUUUGGUUUGGUUUAGUCAUAACUGGUAAAAGUUGCUGCCAUGUGACUAGGAAGUCACGGGUUCAAGACUUGGAAACAGCCUCUGGCAGAAAUGCAAGGUAAGGUUGCGUAUGAUACACCCUUGUGGUGGGGCCCUUUCCCGGACACCGCGCAUAGCGGUAGUUUUAGUGCACCGGGCUGCCCUUUUUUUAGUCAUAAUACAAUCAUAUUAUUGGAGCUUUCAUUUAAUUUCUGAAAGAUAGAUCAAGCGGCUGUAUAUGAAUGUGACCAAUUGACGGAUUUCCUAGAUUCCUUACUUUUUGAAGGAUUGGCAUUGCCCUCUGGUUGUUGUAAUAAGCUGAUAGCAAUAAAAUUUCACAAAUAAAUAGGGAGUAUGUAGGACACAUCUUCCAAGCAUUGCAUAUCUCAUCUCAGACACGUUUAAGUGGUCAAUAUAUUAAUUUAGAACUGUCUAUUGCGAUGCCUAAAUUGUAAUAUAAUUUACCUUCCUGAAAUCCUAUUAAAUAUAAAGACCUGCAAUUAGUAAAGAUACGGUUUACUUGAGUUUACAUGUUUGGAAAAGUCUUUGGAUUUUUAAUCUACUGUUGCUUUUUAGAUUUCAAAUCCUUUGUCCAUGUUAGAUGCUUUCUAGCUGAUGAAUCUGGACUGACUUCUAACUUGGCAUUUCUGCAGGCAAUGAACGGUCAAUAUCUUUGCAAUCGUCAAAUUACGACGUCCUAUGCCUACAAGAAAGAUACAAAGGGGGAACGUCAUGAAAUCCCUGCUGACCUCCUUACUUGUGGUAUGACACGGGGUAUGUUGUUGUUUUCUAUUUCGUGCGCGUCCAAGUCUUUCUGAUGUGGAAAUUGAAAAUUCUGACGGAUGGAGUAAGUUCGGGUCACUCUUCCCUAACCGUGCCCCAAAGGGUUGGUGCUACUCUUGAACUACAUUGGGGGAGCAACAAAUACUGAAAUUUUGUCUAAGCAAUGAACAGAAUGUUUUUGGUGUUGCUCUCUUUAGAUUAAUGAUCAAGUUGAUUUGGAUUACAAAGCUGUUUCUACUUACAUAGCCACGUGAUAGAAGAUUUCAAUCUUAUCAUCAACAAUCAAAAUAAUCGAUCACACAACACAUCAUACUUUCUUAUCAUGUGGAGGAAAAACUAUUUUGUAAAACUUUCCUCCUUAUCGAGUACCGUCAAAUAGUUAUUAUAUAAAAUAUUAUCAUUUUAAGUUAAUGUACAUUUUAUAUUUACAUUUCGUGUCUUAGGAUGC